rnacentral:lncRNA from 1 species
AAAAGUCUACGAAUUAAUUUCCAUGAUUGUCUAUAAAAAUACGGCACUUAGUCAUUUUCGACCCGAAACAAAGGUUACUAUAUUAUAAUACCUGAUUCUCUUUUUGACUGAAAUUACUUUAUUUACCAUGUGCAAGGUUGCUGUGUACUUUUUUUUGGGGGGGGAGGCAUCAGGGGGGUGUGCGCAAACUGUUUAGCGACGGGAUACCUCAAAGCAUUUAAUUUUGACCGUUUCAAUAUGUUAAGUAAGUUAUGACAUAAAGUUUGCCUUUGAAUUCCUUGAAAUAUAUUUGAAGUUUACAUAUACAUGUAACCGUAUUAAUUUAUUUAAAUAAACGUUGCUGCUACAGCUAAAUUAUAUCCGAAAUUUCAUUGCAUUUAUGCGGUUGAAGUUUGUGUGGUAAUAAUAGUCUGCAUAACAAGACAUGCAAUUUUUUUAUGAAUAUAUCUUAUUAUGGGAAGUGUAAUACUGCCCUAUUUGUUGAUGUCAACUGUAACAGCAGUGACGUACAGAGACCAUAGCGACCCACGACCCAAAGGGGGAUCGAGGGAGGUGGGGGUGUUCCUCUACAGCCUCUUCGCCUUACCAACCAUCUCUAUUUUACCAACUUAUUUGCCAA